AGUGAACGCUGGCGGUAGGCCUAACACAUGCAAGUCGAACGGCAGCACAGUAAGAGCUUGCUCUUACGGGUGGCGAGUGGCGGACGGGUGAGGAAUACAUCGGAAUCUACUUUUUCGUGGGGGAUAACGUAGGGAAACUUACGCUAAUACCGCAUACGACUUAUGGGUGAAAGCAGGGGAUUUUCGGACCUUGCGCGAUUGAAUGAGCCGAUGUCGGAUUAGCUAGUUGGCGGGGUAAAGGCCCACCAAGGCGAGGAUCCGUAGCUGGUCUGAGAGGAUGAUCAGCCACACUGGAACUGAGACACGGUCCAGACUCCUACGGGAGGCAGCAGUGGGGAAUAUUGGACAAAGGGCGCAAGCCUGAUCCAGCCAUACCGCGUGGGUGAAGAAGGCCUUCGGGUUGUAAAGCCCUUUUGUUGGGAAAGAAAAGCAGCAGGUUAAUACCCCGCUGUUCUGACGGUACCCAAAGAAUAAGCACCGGCUAACUUCGUG
rnacentral:rRNA from 1 species